GGAGGUGACGGGCUCAGGCUGCUCCUAUGCAUGCAGGCUCGCUGGAGCGCGCGGAUCAGCCGAGCUCUAGCGCCCACUGCCAAACACUUUCUUGGCCGCUGAUGGUACUUUUCUCCCCCUUUAUUUUUUUUUUUUUCCCUCUACUUGGCCUGAUAGGAGCUAUUUAAAUCAGCCACGCAGCGAAUCAGAUGUGUCUCCCAACACUGCGCUCCGCUCUCCUUCCUGCGCCUCAAGUGACCGGAGAAGCGCAAAAAUCCUCACCAAGCGAUGUCCUUUUUCUUGGCGCUGAGUGGAAUAAAGUUCUUUUUUUUCUGUUUUUUUUCUUUUCUUUAGAGGCAAUCCUCAGAGCGGAACACGUGGCUCCACGGUGGUGAAAACAAAGGAUAAAAGAUUCUUGGAGAGGGGAAAGGAAGAACAAGAAGGGCACUAGGGGUUGGUGCAGAGAUUUGCAUGAUCAUUCGUUCCGAUCCACUGCGUUUGACCUCAACCAGAACCAAUAAUCUACCUGGUGUCGGGCCCUGGGAUCUAGAUGACACUUGGCAAGCCACAGAAGCCGCAAGACAACUGGAUGAAAUAUUUAAAUGAAAGACGGCAGGGGUAGUAGAAGUGAAGAAGGGAAGGGGAAAAAGAGGGAUAGAAAUGAAUACAGGGCAGAGGACAAGGGAAGAUGGGAGAGACGAUAUUCAGAUGGCGAGCAGAAUGUGAAGGACUUCUUGGCAAAGGGAGGGCUUUGUGACAAGAAGUGCAGAUGAACUGGCUUUCACCUACAAAGUAGCCUGAAGAGAUAUAUUCCAAUACAGUAUGAGAUCACAAAGCUUUAUCUUAGAAGCAUCAGCAAGUCACAGUUUGUAUCAGAGUACUUUCAGCAGUGUGCCAGCUCAGCUGCUUAGAGGAAGGCAAUGAAUCUAAAACAUAACCAAAUGAAAUGUAACUUUGUUAUCAUGACUUUCUGCCUUUAGAAUUAAGUAUAUCUGACUUUUUUGUCAAUAAGACUAAAAGUGUAUCGGCUACGCUGUACUAAAUGCUAAUGUUACUAUGGCAGCGUGCUCAAUGACAAACCUAACAUUCUGAUGUUUAGUUUUGGUUUUGAAGAUAUUUGGUCAUAAGCUAAAUUGAAAACGGACUAGAAGAUGGUGCUAGAGGAAAGGUCAGAUAGUCACACAAGAUAUUACAAUUCAUCCUGUUAGCAACAUGAAUGAUUAUACCAAAUUUAAUGCAUUCCAUCAAAUAUCUGUUGACAUAUUUCAAUCAAAACCACAAGAAGAACCAGAGUGAAAGGUAAGGGAUCAUUAAUGUCUUUAGGAUUCAUCAUCUGGGAAUCAUGAAUGUCAAAAUUUUGUGCUAAUCCAUUCAGUAUAUGUUGAUAGAUUUCACUGGAUAAAUUAAAAACUUUGGCCUGCUGGUGGAGCUAGAUGAAAAAGAAGUAGGAUUCAUCCUCUGGGGACCAUGAAUGUCCGUACAAAAUUUCACAGCAAUCCAUCCAAAAGUUUUUGAGAUAUUUCAAUCUGGACCAAAGUGAUCUGUGACUCUGUCUACAGAGUAACGAAUGACCCUGAUAUAAAUGUAAACUAAGCUGAGCAUCAUUGUUUGUCUUGUUUGAACUUGGUGAAAAGUGGACUUUUAUCACUUUUGACAGUUACACAGCUCAAGCUAAUGCUUGUUAGCAAGAAUUCAUGUUUUUAUUAGUUACUCAACAUAUUGCGGAGUUAAGGCCAAACUUUUAUUAUGUAGGAAUUUGAGAUAGAUGCAGGUUGCUAGCUAAAUAAUUACUGAGCAUUAUAGUGAUCUGAUGCUAAGUCUACAGUGCUGCUCACAUAGUCUGCUUAUAACAUAUCUACAGUUGUAGAUUCAAAAAUAAUGACAAGUGACAACAUUUGGAGCUCAGACACUGACAGUGAUGUCCCUAACUUGUCCAGGCAAAGAAAAUAAAUAAAUAAAAUAUUUGGGAACAGAAAAGAGACCAAACAAACACCAACAAUACCAGGUCAUAACCUAUUAUAUGGCUGGACCAUGUAUGGUCAAUGUGCAAAAUUGAAAACGCAGUUGAAAACUGUUGUGGAAGUGCUGUAAACAACCACUUUCAAUGGCAAGUAGCUAAAGCCUGCUCAAAAAAGAUGGUAAAUGUCACUCAGUGAUGUAAUACGCUAUAAGCAUAUUCAUGAUGUUGUAUGUGCUUUCUGCCUCGUGUCAGCCAGUUUCAGCCCUUUAUCUUUUUGCUUCUCU